rnacentral:rRNA from 1 species
UACGUAGGGUGCGAGCGUUGUCCAGAAUUAUUGGGCGUAAAGGGCUCGUAGGCGGUUUGUCGCGUCGGGAGUGAAAACACUGGGCUUAACUCAGUGCUUGCUUCCGAUACGGGCAGACUAGAGGUAUUCAGGGGAGAACGGAAUUCCUGGUGUAGCGGUGAAAUGCGCAGAUAUCAGGAGGAACACCGGUGGCGAAGGCGGUUCUCUGGGAAUGUCCUGACGCUGAGGAGCGAAAGUGUGGGGAGCGAACAGG